GUGGGGAAUCUUAGACAAUGGGGGCAACCCUGAUCUAGCCAUGCCGCGUGAGUGAUGAAGGCCUUAGGGUUGUAAAGCUCUUUCAGUGGGGAAGAUAAUGACGGUACCCACAGAAGAAGCCCCGGCUAACUCCGUGCCAGCAGCCGCGGUAAUACGGAGGGGGCUAGCGUUGUUCGGAAUUCCUGGGCGUAAAGCGCACGUAGGCGGAUCGGAAAGUUGGGGGUGAAAUCCCAGGGCUCAACCCUGGAACUGCCUUCAAAACUAUCGGUCUGGAGUCCGAGAGAGGUGAGUUGAAUUCCGAGUGUAGAGGUGAAAUUCGUAGAUAUUCGGAGGAACACCAGUGGCGAAGGCGGCUCACUGGCUCGGUACUGACGCUGAGGUGCGAAAGCGUGGGGAGCAAACAGGAUUAGAUACCCGUGUAGUCC
rnacentral:rRNA from 1 species